UGCAGUCGAGCGGUAGGCCACUUCGGUGGUACACGAGCGGCGAACGGGUGAGUAACACGUGAGUAAUCUGCCCUUCACUUCGGGAUAAGCCUCGGAAACGGGGUCUAAUACCGGAUAUGACUCAGGACUGCAUGGUUUUGGGUGGAAAGUUCUGGCGGUGGAGGAUGAGCUCGCGGCCUAUCAGCUUGUUGGUGGGGUGAUGGCCUACCAAGGCUUCGACGGGUAGCCGGCCUGAGAGGGUGACCGGCCACACUGGGACUGAGACACGGCCCAGACUCCUACGGGAGGCAGCAGUGGGGAAUAUUGGACAAUGGGCGGAAGCCUGAUCCAGCAACGCCGCGUGAGGGAUGACGGCCUUCGGGUUGUAAACCUCUUUCGCCUGUGACGAAGCGCAAGUGACUUUGGGGGGGGGAGAGAAGCACCCCGCCACACUACGUGCCAGCAGCCGCGGUAAUACGUAGGGUGCGAGCGUUGUCCGGGAAUUAUUGGGCGUAAAGGGCUCGUAAGCGGUUUGUCGCGUCGGGAGUGAAAACCAGGGUGCUCAACACCUUGGCCUGCUUCCGAUACGGGCAGACUAGAGGUAUGCAGGGGAGAACGGAUUUCCUUGCUGUAGCGGUGAAUGCGCAAAUAUCAGGAGGAACACCGGUGGCCAAAGGCGGU
rnacentral:rRNA from 1 species